rnacentral:lncRNA from 1 species
GGACUUCUUUUCGGACGAUCUGUGAGAGCAAAGCAGACAAGAUGUAGGCAGGGGACUGAUAGUUCUGGUGGCGGAAUCCACCACUGGAAGAUUUCGAACAUAGAAUAGUUGAUGAAUUUAGGAUGAUAGAGUCCGUGCCCAGCGAUUGUGUGAUCUGUUGAUUCUAAACUAAGAUUGUCGGGUGUAUUCCAUUCUGCAACGAUUCAACUGAGCGCCAGUGAAAGGAUUUUCAUGACUUUUCCCAGUUAUUUUCGUUAUACUUAAUUCCUCAGUAUUAACCACUCUCUGGGACUUCGGAGGAGCCAUCUUCUGCCUGAUUGUGACACCUGCCCCGUGAUUCCUCCUUCUGUCCAUUCCAACCCAGCAGGUCCAGAGUUUUCACAGACAUAUACUUGCUAGACAUCAUUAAUGCAAGCAGCUCACCAUGCUCUGACCACUCAGUAUGAGGAGUAUAAAGUCCUUUCAUAUCUGCUAUCACCCAGAAAGACUGCAGUUAUUUCCCGUUAAUCUCUAUCAAGAGCAAACCUGUUUCCGAAGCACAUUCUCAACCUGGCUCCUUGCUCCUCAGGGUUAUUCUCUCGUUCUGGCUGAAAUGUCAUUGUCUUGCGGGUAGUCUUGAUGUCUUUUUGCACAAAUGUGAAUUUUCCCUUAUGUAUUUUACUUCAAAAUGAUCCAAACUUAUAUUUUAACCAAACACGGGGGAAUUUCAUUGCUGCCACAUCUAGCAGACGGCACAAAAUAGCACCUGGUUGGAGGAACUAAUUAGGGAUGUUUCUGCACAACGAAUCAGAAGAAUGAAAAGACGUGGAAACCUCUCCUGUCUGAAAUUCAAGCUCACACUCCUGUCCUCUGUUCCUUUCCUUAAAGCUCCACUGGAUGCGGGACUAUUUUUCAAAAUUAAAGUGACCAACACUGGAGAUAAAGUAGUUGGGAUUAAACCUGAAGGCUUAUUUCACCACACUAAAGGAAAGAAAGACCACUGUAUUGUGUCUUACGAAGGCCAUGGUAGGAGGAUGGAGUGUCUGCUGAUCUAUAUGAACAAGGAGCGGCUGGAAAACCAGAAACGUAACUUCUGGAAGUUGGAGCUAUCCAUCUGGCUUACUUACUGAGAACUGUAGGCACCCGCACUGCAAGCAUUAUUUAUAUACUAAGUAAUGCAUUUAAGAUUUAUGAGGAAUGAGAAGUCACACCACACCUAGAAGGGUGUGAACACGGAAUGCCUGCACUCAGGGAGAGAUCUGCGUCAGCUGUAUUUUUGAUCAAAAGUUGUUCCCAUAGUGACAACACUCUCCCCCUUAUCAGUAUUUCUUCUUGUUACUUGGUUACCAAAAUAUGAAAUGAAUACUGAAUGCAGGUCAUGAGCAUGAGAGCGAAUAUAAAGCUAACUAGUUAUCUAGGUCUAACUCUGUCAUGAUUUUUCUUUAUAUUUUUGGUGGUGGUUAAAUACAUAAAUAUAUUCAGUGGUCUAAGUAUAGAACCCAAUAUGAAGCCCACAGCCUCCAAAUGCCUAUUGUAACUUCCCAGAAGUUCAAUUCUACUUCCUGAUGUAAAGAUGAUUGUCGCUUGCAAAACACGGAAAGUCUGAAUUCAUGGUGAAACUCUAGAGGUGAUGAAGAACAACAUAUAAGGAGUGUCCGGCCACACUUUCUGGUUUUAAACGUGCUUUAACAUCUACACUUCGUUCUGCAUGAGGAUCAUAACGAUCAUUUCUCGGCUUCCCUGGAGCAUUAUCAACACCGUUAGGGCUCCACCCACUCUAUGGAAGAAGAGACUGGGGUAAAAUGGAAGGUCCACACAGGAGCGACAGAAGCAUAGACACAAAGCCUUCUCAACACAUCCUUUCCUCUUUACCCCAACAAACCCACUCAGUUUUGCCUUUGUUCACUUCUUCCAGAUGUUUUUGCAUCUGUAGUAAUCUAUUCCCUGUUGCUAUGGGAAUAAUAUACCUGACAGAGGCGUCUUGAGGCAGAAAAAGGUUUAUUUUGGUUCAUGGUUCCAUGGAGCAGAGUCCAUCAUACCAAUGAAGGCAUACAUACAGCAGAAGCAUAAUAGCAAGGCAUACAGCAGAUGCAUAAUAGCAGCUUGUCAGAUUGCAUCAGCCAUAAGGAAGAAGCCUCAGUGAUAAACGUCCUCCACUAAAGAACCCUUCUGAAAGUUUCUAUAAUUUUCCCAAACUACCAACUGGAACCAAGUGUUCAAACCCAUAUGCCUCAGGAAGACAUCUCACAUUCAAAGCACAAUGAUGUUGAACAACCCAGUAUGUCUCCUUAUGUCACUAAAGCUGCCUUGAUGACGUCAGCUUGCUUCCUGUUCAGCGAACAAAAUGAAUAUUAUCUACUCUAGUCACGGCUCCAGCCUGGUGUUCUGCCUCUAAACUUCCUCAAGUUGUUCAAGUUUGGGUAUAUCUCUAAUUCAGCGUCCGUGAGAGUGCCAUGAAAUGCACACCACUAGGUGAUGUCAUACCUCAUUAUGCCUUUGCAUCCUAAACCACUGUCAGGAUAGCCAGUGCUGUUCUGUGUGCACGGAAGCCAUCUUAACACAGAAAGGAAACUGUAAAAGGUCUUCCCCUUACAUGUCCUCUUUUGCUUGCUAUCAUGGAAGUGAUAUUUUCUGAUCAUAACUCUCAAGGUCCACCUUAUCCUCAAACCUCUGCAUUGUUUGAGGAGUCACCAUAGAGUUUCUGGUUUUUACUUUAAACCUCACAUUCUCUUUAUGUAAUAUGCUGGAUAAUUUCACAGGCAUCAGGAAUUGAAUCCCCUUCUACCAAGUCUCAUGGGUGGCUGCCCUUCACUGGGCAAGCAUAGGUAUUCAUUAAAUAUUCAUCGAAAGAUUUUUUUUAUUAACUUGUUGUGGCUUUCCCCACACUUUGGAUCCAACUCAAAUACCAGUUAAUACAUAAUCCUUUUUUUA